UAACCGUGCGAAGGUAGCAUAAUCACUUGUUCUUUAAAUGAGGACUCGUAUCAACGGCAUCACGAGGAUCCUACUGUCUCCCCCCUCUAAUCGGUGAAACUGAUCUCUCCGUGAAGAAGCGGAGAUGUACAUAUAAGACGAGAAGACCCCAUGGAGCUUUAAACCCAACAACACCCGCCCCCCUCCAAAUCCUAUUAUGUGCCCGGUGACUGUUUGUUCGGUUUUAGGUUGGGGUGACCGCGGAGUAUAAGAUAUCCUCCAUGAAAAAAAGCUAACUGCCCUUAUUAGAGAAAGACACUUCCAAAAAAUAAUAAAUUAAUUUUAAAUGAUCCGACAUUCGAUCAACGAACCAAGUUACCCUGGGGAUAACAGCGCAAUCCGUCCCGAGAGCCCCUAUCGAC
rnacentral:rRNA from 1 species